CUGUGACUGUCCCAUCCCUGGACCGCGCUUAGCCACACCCCCAACCACCUGAGCCUUCAGUGCCGCGGGCGGAAAGCUCCGGGUUCCAUGUAUCGUCCAGAAGCCGCGGCAAUGUGGCUUCUUGCCUCAACAACUGUAACUUGUAACUUUCGUCUUUCUGGGUUUUGUUGGUUUUUUUUUUUUUUUAAUUUUGUGUUAUGAGCGUUAGUUACCUGCUUGCAUGGCUGUGCACCACGUGUGAGCAGUGCCUGAGGAGGCUGAAAGAUGGUGUUCGAUUUCCUAGAACUGGAGUUAUGUAAUGAAUGGCCUUGUGGUACACAGACUGGUAUCUAGCUCAUCUUGAACACUGCCACCAUCAUGACCACAGGAGCCCUCCCUAGUCCUGCAUUCAAAAUGUUUUGAAUGUCAACGUGUUCAUUAAACAAUUGAAGCCUCAU
rnacentral:lncRNA from 1 species